rnacentral:rRNA from 1 species
CACGUAGGGCGCAAGCGUUGUCCGGAAUUAUUGGGCGUAAAGAGCUCGUAGGCGGUCUGUUGCGUCCGCUGUGAAAACUCGGGGCUUAACCCCGAGCCUGCAGUGGAUACGGGCAGACUAGAGGUAGGUAGGGGAGAAUGGAAUUCCCGGUGUAGCGGUGAAAUGCGCAGAUAUCGGGAGGACACCGGUGGCGAAGGCGGGUCUCUGGGCCGAAACUGACGCUGAGGAGCGAAAGCGUGGGGAGCGAACAGG